AUUGAACGCUGGCGGCAGGCCUAACACAUGCAAGUCGGGCGGUAGCACAGAGAGCUUGCUCUCGGGUGACGAGCGGCGGACGGGUGAGUAAUGUCUGGGAAACUGCCUGAUGGAGGGGGAUAACUACUGGAAACGGUAGCUAAUACCGCAUAACGUCGCAAGACCAAAGAGGGGGACCUUCGGGCCUCUUGCCAUCAGAUGUGCCAAGAUGGGAUUAGCUAGUAGGGGGGGUAAUGGCUCACCUAGGCGACGAUCCCUAGCUGGUCUGAGAGGAUGACCAGCCACACUGGAACUGAGACACGGUCCAGACUCCUACGGGAGGCAGCAGUGGGGAAUAUUGCACAAUGGGCGCAAGCCUGAUGCAGCCAUGCCGCGUGUGUGAAGAAGGCCUUCGGGUUGUAAAGCACUUUCAGCGAGGAGGAAGGCGGUGAGGUUAAUAACCUCAUCGAUUGACGUUACUCGCAGAAGAAGCACCGGCUAACUCCGUGCCAGCCGCCGCGGUAA
rnacentral:rRNA from 1 species